rnacentral:rRNA from 1 species
AAGGAAGCACACUAAGGCCAUAGAUUAAGCCAUGCAAGUGCUAGUUCAGGCAACGAAACUGCGAACAGCUCAUUAAUACGCUCAGAACCUAUUUGGUUUCGGCCCAGCAGGGUCCUAUAUGGAUAGCAGUGGUAAUUCUAGUGCUAAUACAUGCGGACUAAACACCCUAUUCGAAUAGAGGUGUGGACUUGACCAUUUGGCGUACCAUUCGGUUGAGCGCCCUAUCAGCUUGUUCGUAGUAUCUUUUACUAUGAAGGCUAUCACGGGUAACGGGCGGUUGCCGUCGGACUGCCGGAGAGGGCGCCUGAGAGAUAGCGGCCAUCCCCAUGGGGAGCAGCAGGCGCGAAACUUACCCACUCGCCAACGGCGGAGGUGGUAAUGGCCCGUUCAAUCGCGUCGCAAGACCGGCUGAUAGGGUUACAAUUUUCCAUUGUAGCGUAACCUAGGAGAGGGCCAGUUCUGGUGCCAGCAGCUGCGGUAAUUCCAGCUCUCCAAGUUUGCUCCCAAUGCUACAUUUAAAACGCCCGUAGUCGGAACACGAAGCUCGCGUAGAGCGUUCACCGUGAUUAAAUCAGCAUGCUUAGAGUAGUUCGUAACUGAAUGACUCAGCGCGGUAUGAGAUCUUUACUUUUGCAAAAAAGUCAGAUCAAAGAGAGCCAUCGGGGGUAAAUCUAUUUCAUGGCGAGCGGCGGAAUGUGUUGACCCAUGAGAGAGAAACGAAUGCGAAAGCAUUUACCUAGAGGGUUUCUGUCGAUCAAGGGCGAGAGUCGCAGGAUCCAACCGGAUUAGAGACCCGGGUAGUUGCGACCUUAAACUAUGCCGACGGGGCCACAUCUUUUGGUGGGGUUCUAAGCGAAAGCCUGAGUCGCUGGGCUAUGGGGGAACUACGCUCGCAAGACUGAAACUUGAAGGAAUUGACGGAAGGGCACACCAGGGGUGGAUACUGUGGCUCAAUCUGACUCAACGCGGAGAAACUUACCAGGACCAGAUAUUUUUAAUGACUGACCAGCUAAAGACUGUUCAGGAUAUGAUUUUUGGUGGUGCAUGGCCGUUGGUGGUGCGUGGAUUGAUCUGUCAUACGUCGAUUCAGAUAACGAGCGAGACUACCACUGACUAUCUAGUCAUCUGCUCUUUGGAGUUGUUUGUCUUCUAGUCAGGACUCCAGGCGUUUAAGCCUGCGGAAGAGGGUAGCACUAACAGGUCCGUUAUGUCCUUUAGAUGCUCUGGGCUGCACGCGUUCUACAAUGCUAGAAUCAUCGGGAUGCUAACCUGAGAAGGUAUGCUACUCCCUUAAUCUCUAGCGUAGUUGGGAUUGACGAUUGUAAUCAUCGUCAUGAACCAGGAAUCCCUUGUAAACGUGUAUCAACAUUGCACGUUGAAUACGUCCCUGCCCUUU